UUGGAUGAAAUCAAUGUGGAUACCACAUUUUGGAAAUUAACCCCACAUAAAAUGGUGAGACACACGCGAAUUUCAUCCAA
rnacentral:pre_miRNA from 1 species